rnacentral:rRNA from 1 species
GACACGGCCCAAACUCCUACGGGAGGCAGCAGUAGGGAAUUUUCGUCAAUGGGGGGAACCCUGAACGAGCAAUGCCGCGUGAGUGAGGAAGGUCUUCGGAUCGUAAAGCUCUGUUGUAAGAGAAAAAUGGCACUCAUAGGGAAUGAUGAGUGAGUGAUGGUAUCUUACCAGAAAGUCACGGCUAACUACGUGCCAGCAGCCGCGGUAAUACGUAGGUGGCGAGCGUUAUCCGGAAUGAUUGGGCGUAAAGGGUGCGUAGGUGGCAGAUCAAGUCUGGAGUAAAAGGUAUGGGCUCAACCCGUACUGGCUCUGGAAACUGAUCAGCUAGAGAACAGAAGAGGACGGCGGAACUCCAUGUGUAGCGGUAAAAUGCGUAGAUAUAUGGAAGAACACCGGUGGCGAAGGCGGCCGUCUGGUCUGGAUUCUGACACUGAAGCACGAAAGCGUGGGGAGCAAAUAGGAUUAGAUACCCUAGUAGUCCACGCCGUAAACGAUGAGAACUAGGUGUUGGGGGAAUAACUCAGUGCCGCAGUUAACGCAGUAAGUUCUCCGCCUGGGGAGUAUGCACGCAAGUGUGAAACUCAAAGGAAUUGACGGGGGCCCGCACAAGCGGUGGAGUAUGUGGUUUAAUUCGAAGCAACGCGAAGAACCUUACCAGGCCUUGACAUCCCUUGCAGAGGUAUAGAGAUAUAUCCGAGGUUAUCAAGGAGACAGGUGGUGCAUGGUUGUCGUCAGCUCGUGUCGUGAGAUGUUGGGUUAAGUCCCGCAACGAGCGCAACCCUUGUGAUAUGUUACUAACAUUGAGUUGAGGACUCAUAUCAGACUGCCGGUGAUAAACCGGAGGAAGGUGGGGAUGACGUCAAAUCAUCAUGCCCCUUAUGGCCUGGGCUACACACGUACUACAAUGGCGUCUACAAAGAGCGGCAAGCCUGUGAAGGCAAGCGAAUCUCAUAAAGGGCGUCUCAGUUCGGAUUGAAGUCUGCAACCCGACUUCAUGAAGCUGGAAUCGCUAGUAAUCGCGAAUCAGCAUGUCGCGGUGAAUACGUUCUCGGGCCUUGUACACACCGCCCGUCAAACCAUGGGAGUUGGUAAUGCCCGAAGCCGGUGGCAUAACCCUUCGGGGAGUGAGCCGUCGAAGGCAGGACCGAUGACUGGGGUUAAGUCGUAACAAGGUAUCCCUACGGGAACGUGGGGAUG